UGAAACUGAGGCAUGAAACAUGACAGAAAAGGAAUUCAGAGUAAUGGUUGUACAGUUCAUAAACUGGAUAGAUGAGAAAAAUCAAUGACCUAUGCAAAAAUCAAAAAGUAAUCAAAAGUGAUAUAGAUACGAUCAAAAAUGCCAUGGAAGGUUUCAACAGUAGACUAAAAGAAGCAGAGGAGCGAACUAGUGAGUUAGAAGAUAAGGUAGAGAAACAAGCCCAAUCUAAACAGCAACUGGAG